UGUUUGUAUAGUGUGUGUAUAUAAUGCAGUGUGUUUGUGUAGUGUGCAUAAUAUAAACACACUACACAAACACACUGCAUUAUAUACACACACUAUGCAAAC